rnacentral:rRNA from 1 species
UACGGGGGGAGCAAGCGUUGUUCGGAUUUACUGGGCGUAAAGGGCGCGUAGGCGGCCUCUGCAAGUCGACUGUGAAAUCUCCGGGCUUAACCCGGAACGGUCAGCCGAUACUGCAGGGCUAGAGUGCAGAAGGGGCAACUGGAAUUCUCGGUGUAGCGGUGAAAUGCGUAGAUAUUGGGAGGAACACCGGUGGCGAAGGCGGCCCCCUGGACCGGUACUGACGCUGAGGCGCGAAAGCGUGGGUAGCAAACGGG